CUAGCUAUAAUUUUGCUAUUCACAAAAUAGCAAAAUAGUGAAUUAACAUUCACAAUCUAAAUGUUUAUAUUUUUACAAGACUGUGAACUGUGAAGUACUGAAUUGACAGUUUUGCUGUGUUCAUGUUUUUUUUUUUUUUUUGGUAAACGGGGGCUCGAUUACACACUGAAGCCACUGAGCCCCUAACAAUAUGACAAUCAGUUUGCCGCAGUAAGAACCUUUCUUUUACGAUCUAUGGUUAGAACACAGCAUGAAGUUACAAACUCGUGUACAGUAGGUGGCGGUAUGCACCUAAAAGUUGGUUGCAAUCCGACAAUAAUCAAGAGAAGAAGAAGAUUGCCGAAGUAGAAGUUACUCAGCCCACAGUUUGCUUGCUAGCAAAGUCAUCGACUACCGUCGUAUAACAAGCUUUAUGGAAAAGAACGUGACAUACAACAUGCCUGGAUUGGUUUGGUGCACCUCCUCAGACAAGAAGCCAAAAAGUAUGGUGUCCUUGAUAACAUAUCAU